rnacentral:rRNA from 1 species
UACGGAGGGAGCUAGCGUUGUUCGGAAUUACUGGGCGUAAAGCGCACGUAGGCGGCGAUUCAAGUCAGAGGUGAAAGCCCGGGGCUCAACCCCCGGAACUGCCUUUGAAAACUAGAUUGCUAGAAUCCUGGAGAGGUGAGUGGAAUUCCGAGUGUAGAGGUGAAAUUCGUAGAUAUUCGGAAGAACACCAGUGGCGAAGGCGACUCACUGGACAGGUAUUGACGCUGAGGUGCGAAAGCGUGGGGAGCAAACAGG